GAUGAAGAACGGCAGUGAAAUGCGAUAAGUAGUGUGAAUUGCAGAAUUCAGUGAAUCAUCGAAUCUUUGAACGCACAUUGCGCCCUUUGGUAUUCCUUAGGGCAUGCCUGUUCGAGCGUCAUUUAAACCUUCAAGCUAAGCUUGGUGUUGGGUGACUGUCCGCUUCACGGCGGACUCGCCUCAAAAUUAUUGGCGGCCGGUACAUUGGCUUCGAGCGCAGCAGAAACGCGAACUCGGGCCCGUCGUAUUGGCUCCCAGAAGCUAUCUUCACAAUUUUGACCUCGGAUCAGGUAGGGAUACCCGCUGAACUUAAGCAUAUCAAUAAGCGGAGGA
rnacentral:misc_RNA from 1 species